UACUCGCUGCAAUGCCGGGCGUACAAAAUAACUGGACGUAAUAAAUAUAAGAUAUGUUAAAAAAUCCGUUUGAGCAACAUCAAUCGAUUAAUCAACUGCAUCAGCGUAUCUUUACAAUGAAGAUUUGCAAUGGGCACAAACUGGCAUUUGUGCAAUCUAAGAGCAAUUUCUAUGACAAUGGCCAAAGACAAAUAUUUGUUCAGCCACGUUGAUGGCUAAAUUGGGUUUUCCAUUAUGGGAAAGUAUAGGGCGUUGGAGUACCAGACGCGCGAUCUAAGGACAGACUCUGGCGUUUGCAUACAAAACGGGGGAGUUUGAAGACCAGACGCGGGCGCUCGGUGUGCUGACGCGGGCGUUAGAAACGAAGUCUUUAACGGUCGACUCCCCAACGCCUAUAUUUGCACCGGUCGGCUCAAUUUCAACACUAUAAAUUCGUUGUUUUGAUUUCAUAUUCAGUCACACCAUUACCAUUUCCUUCUUCUAAAACUCUUCUGAAUCAAAAAUUUCUAUACAAUAUGAACAUAGUGAGAAGAGCGGUCUGUAAUAUAAAGAAGAAAAGAGAUCGCAGCAAUGAAUCGGCACCGUCUCCUCACACAAAUGUAGAUUAUACUCAAAAUCGAGAAGCAAAGUUUGCUGCACCAAAUAUAGUUGAUGCUCCAUUAUUAGUACCAAGUCAUGUGUCGGGGCAUCAUGAACGGUCUGAGGAUUAUUAUGUCAUGAGAGGUGGAUUUUCAGAGUUAAAUUAUAUUUAUGUUUGUCUACCGCCUGCAGUCCGAGAAAGGGUUGACAGAUAUCCUUGGCGUGCGCUUUAUCGAAUUAAGCCUAGAAAACAUAACAAAAAAAUUCUGAAAAUAGUGGUAGAAAGGUGGUGGAUGACGACGCACACAUUCUAUUUUAACGAUUUCGAAAUUGGUAAGUUUUUUUAACUUAAGUUAAAUUAAAUUUUUUAAAUAAUUAUUAAAUAAUCAAAAGAAUUAAUCAUAGUUGAUGUUAUACUUGUAAUAAGAAUUACUCCCCUUGAUUUGUAUUUCACUGUUGCGAUUCCAAGUGGAACGGGAGACCCGCCACCAUACAAUCAAGACGAAUGGAUGUCAAAUAGUAAAUGGGAGACGCUUUGUCCCUCGUUUUUGGAAACAAACAUGCGUCGAGAGGAUGACUAUGAUGAACUCGAAAGGAUGUUUAUCUUAUGGGUGCUGGGUCAGGCAUUCUUUCCAAACUCAACUUCUGUUGCUCAUGUUGGUUGGAUUGAAGCGUUAGAAGAUCUCGACAAAGCACCAGAUUAUGACUGGGGAUCUGAAAUUUUAGCAGAAUUGUAUUGUGCGUCGGAUACAGCGUCCAUGGGCGUUAAAUACUUCACUGGUUUCUGGAACAUCAUAGAGGAUUGGUGGUAUACCUACUUCCGUGUUGGUAAACCAAUCCUAAAACACGGGACAGUUAGAUUUCCAAUGUUGGAUAUGUAUAUAAAGACCAACUUAGAGAAGAACACUGGCAUCGACAACGAAGUUUGCAUUUUGUUUACAGGUUACAUCAGAUGACUCGGAGCCACAACAACGUAGUUGUUCUCCCUUACACUGGCUUACCUCAGUAUAGUGAUGAUGUUGGAGUAAGUAUUGUUGAUUAUUCUAAGCGUAGAGUAGUUUUUUACAGUCCGGAAUCAAAGCGAGGGGUUUGGUACUUGGGAGAAAGAGUGCAGUACCAAAUACAAGGUAUAUUUGCAAUUGUAAUUAACCCGCUACAACAGAUGCAAACCUAUGCAUCAGAUUUUUAUCGGCUGGGAAUAACCGAAUGGGAGAGGUAUGAACUAAAUACAUAGUUGAAUAUUACUGAAGCGCAGUAUGUCAAGUGGUACAAGUCAAUUACGUAGCCUGUGAUUUAGAUACAGAACAUGCACGUCUAUGGGUUUGAUUUCCUAGGGUUAUCAAACUUGUCCCAUAAUCCAAGUGUCGUUCCUAGCCAACUACCUCCAUAAGAGCCAAGCUUUAUGACUUAUUCCAGAACGGGUACAAGUUCUUCAUCAUCCUCGUUCAAUAUGCCAGAAUUCGUUGGGAGAUGCAAAGUAUUACUUCACAAGGUGAGCCAAUCACGAUCCCCAUUGUUUCCCAAGGUAUGGAUCGAGAUUAUCCUUACUCCAAUGUCCAUGCUAGUAAGGAAGAGAUGCGGAUUUAUCUCAACGAUAUGCAUUGGCGGAAUCAGCAAGUAGAGGCGAUGUACUUGGAACAACUACGAAGAUGGCAGACAGAUACAAUGUUUGGAUUGAGUCCAACUGUAGGUCCAAAUGAUGGGCAGCGGUCACAUUCUUCCGAAUCCACCAGGAGCAACAGAUCAUCAUGGUACGAAAAUGAAGAAAACAACAGAUCAGCAAACAACAGAUCAGCAUGGCAUGAAAGUGAAGAAAACAACAUAUCAGCAAACAACAGAUCAUCAUGGCACGAAAGUGAAGAAACAGUGGUGCGAGACACACAGCACAAUACUACUUCACCAUAAAUUGUGCCAGUAUCUCUACCUCAGCCACUUCGGCUUGAACCUAGGCGCAUUUCAUCAUCAUUCUCUCCCUACAACCAAAAUGUGCCAUACAACCCAAAUAUGCCCUACAAUCCAAAUGAAUGCUACACACCAACACCAGCACAACAACAAACCUCUUAUAUUCUUUGAGGUCCGAGUACACAUAGUUCUUACCAAUCGCCUAAUUUUCUUCAUCCAGGUCAGCGAGGUCUAUCAGGUCUAUCCUCAUUUGGAAAUUUACAAACUAUGUUGGCUUUGAGUGAUUUAGCAGGUCUAUCCCCAAGACUUGCUGAAUUAUUGACUCCAGAAAAUGACAAUGGGGGAAAUAGAUAUGAGCGACGUUAGAGAGAUUAUUGUAAAUUUUCUGCUACAUUCAUAGUUUUAGUUUUAAAUGUACGACAGUCUUUAAU